GACAGAGGCCUCAAGCGUUAGGCGGAAUCACUGGGCUUAAAGCGUGUGUAGGCGGAUCGUUAAGUGUCUUGUGAAAUCCCACGGCUCACCCGUGGAACUGCUGGGCAUACUGGCGAUCUUGGGCCAACUAGGGGCAACUGGAACAAGCGGUGGAGCGGUGAAAUGCGUAGAUAUCGCUUGGAACGCCAAAGGUGAAAACAGGUUGCUGGGGUUGU
rnacentral:rRNA from 1 species